rnacentral:rRNA from 1 species
CAGACUUGGGCUUGGUUGAUCAUCCCGCGUUCUCGCGGGUGCACUCUUCCGGCUCAGGCCAGCAUCAGUUCGCUGCGGGGGAUAAAGGCGUCGGGAAUGUGGCUCCCUCGGGAGUGUUAUAGCCCUUCGUGUAAUACCCUGCGGUGGACUGAGGACCGCGCUUCGGCAAGGAUGCUGGCGUAAUGGUCAUCAACGA